AAUAUACAAGAUUUUAAUAUAAAAGUAAAAAUAAAUAAAAAUAGUGUGAGAUACUAUUUCUAUUGUAUUUAGAGAAGUAAAACAUAAAUCGGAAACGACUUGUGCUGGAAUCGUACGGAAACAGAAGAUUUAGAAUUUUCUUUGAGAAGCCGGGCUGAUAUUUUAGCAGAAAAUAUACAGUGUCAGAAAAUUAUGAAAACUGAAGAAUAUGUCAGAAUUAUUUUUAUGAGGCCGAUUUAAAGUUUCAUGUCAUUCUGACAUCCGAAAGGUGGAAAAUAAAAUCCGACUGCUAUCUGCUAGAGAUUACAGUUCGGUAGAACUUUCGGUGACCAAAAAUGGUCAAAACUGAAAAGUUAAGAUAUAUUCUAUUUAUUUAGCAAAAGUCGAGCCUGACUGUCAAAUUUGAGCGCAAACGGACGUUCAGAAGGGCCGGCGAAAGGUAUCUGUACUUGAACUGCUAAAUUGAAAGUUGAAUAGUGUUGAGGGGCUUUGUGUAAAAAGGAUUUCUCCCCUUUUCUUCCCCUCCAUCAGCCAACGCACACACACACACCACGCACACACGCAUG
rnacentral:lncRNA from 1 species